GAUGAACGCUAGCGGCAGGCCUAGCACAUGCAAGUCGAGGGGGAAGUUACUUUCGGGUGACUGAGACCGGCGUACGGGUGCGUAACGCGUAUACAAUCUGCCUUUCACUGGGUGAUAGCCCGAAGAAAUUUGGAUUAAUACCCCAUAGUAUAUAGGGACGGCAUCGUUUUUAUAUUAAAGCUUAGGUGGUGAAAGAUGAGUAUGCGUUCUAUUAGCUAGUUGGAGAGGUAACGGCUCCCCAAGGCGAUGAUAGAUAGGGGUUCUGAGAGGGAUGUCCCCCACACUGGUACUGAGAUACGGACCAGACUCCUACGGGAGGCAGCAGUGAGGAAUAUUGGACAAUGGUCGGAAGACUGAUCCAGCCAUGCCGCGUGCAGGAUGAAGGUCUUAUGGAUUGUAAACUGCUUUUGUAAGGGAAGAAUAAGGGCUACGCGUAGUUUGAUGACGGUACCUUACGAAUAAGCAUCGGCUAACUCCGUG
rnacentral:rRNA from 1 species